rnacentral:tRNA from 1 species
GUUGGUAGAGCGUUAGACUUUUAAUCUAACGGUCAGGGGUUCGAAUCCUCUAC